ACCUAGCUGACGAAUCCCAAAUAGGACGAAACGAACGUCCUGGAU
rfam:Schistosoma rodhaini strain Burundi genome assembly, scaffold: SROB_scaffold0003014